UACGAGGGGGGCGAGCGUUGUUCGGAAUUAUUGGGCGUAAAGGGUGCGUAGGCGGUUUGGUAAGUCUUGUGUGAAAUCUACAGGCUCAACUUGUAGUCUGCACGAGAAACUGCCGGGCUUGAGUGUGGGAGAGGUGAGUGGAAUUCCCAGUGUAGAGGUGAAAUUCGUAGAUAUUGGGAAGAACACCGGUGGCGAAGGCGGCUCUCUGGACCGAUACUGACGCUGAGGCGCGAAAGCGUGGGGAGCAAACAGG
rnacentral:rRNA from 1 species